UACGUAGGGUGCGAGCGUUGCCCGGAUUUAUUGGGCGUAAAGAGCGCGUAGGCGGCCCUGUAAGUCCGCUGUGAAAACUCGAGGCUCAACUUCGAGCUGUCGGUGGAAACUUUCUGGCUAGAGUCCGGAAGAGGAGAAUGGAAUUCCUGGUGUAGCGGUGAAAUGCGCAGAUAUCAGGAAGAACACCCGUGGCGAAGGCGGUUCUCUGGGACGGUACUGACGCUGAGACGCGAAAGCGUGGGGAGCGAACAGG
rnacentral:rRNA from 1 species